UACAGCAAUGGCGGAUGGUGGAGCCGCUCAAUAGUUCCCGGAAGUUAGCGCUCAUACUAUCAGCGCCGUAGAGAUGCAGCAGAAGAGACCGCUGUGAUGAACUUUUAAAAGAACAAGAACCACCUGAAGACUCCCUGUAAAGAGACAUCACCCUCACAAUGAGUCUCUUCACUGGUUUUGGCAAGUCUUUUCCUGCUCUUUGUG